GAUUGAUGUGAAGAUUUUAGGCGACAAGUAACAAGUCGCACGGAAUAGCUUUGGUGUUCCGUAGGCGCGAUAAAAUUCUUACCGUAUUAUUCCGUGUAUAACGACCCCCUUUUAGUUCACAAAUUAUCAAAGUCCGAUUAAGUGGGUGGUUAUACACAGGUAGUAACUUUUCUAUUCGAUCAUAGAGUGGAGGUUAAAACACGUACAACAUUGUUACAACUGAUGAAAUGUAGAAAACAAUUUUUUAAAUUUUUUUCAUAAACAUAAAAAAUUUGUUUUUGGGGGUCGUAUACACUGAAAAAUACGGUACUUUGCUAUGUCGACAAUGAAGGAAAAAUAGUAAACAGCGGUUGGCUGGUAUGUUGCAAUGUUCCGUUUCGUCAGAAAUAUGUGCAAUGUGAUGUUAAUAAUUUGAUUUGAAUUUUCAAUGACGGCAAAUUUCCUUCCAAAUAAUGUGUUUAACCGAAUAUCAUGGCGUACUAUUGGUACUUACCAAAUGCUGUGUUAUAACUAGGCAUCGUGAUGAGGUUGGGUUUGUGAUGUGACGUGUUGUUGAUGUUGGAUAGUGAAUGUGUACUAACGAUACGGGAUAAUUGCUACGUUAUGUGCAACGGGAAGAACAUCACUACUGCAGUCCAAGUUUCUACGUUCGAGCCCACGAUGACCACUGGCGUGUUCUUUUUAAAAAGUUUGAUAAAAGAUCUAAGGAUAUUUUAUUCACCGGUAAGUAGAGGAAGGAGGUAGGUAUGUGCUAAUGAUCAUUGCAUAAUUACAAACACUUCAAAUUGAUACAUAAUACAAUCAUUUUUAAAAAAUACAAUAUGAACUAUUUAUUUUAUAAAUAGUGAAGGUUUUACAAACCAAAUCUUUUAUACUCUAGCAUCACAUAUACAGUGCACAAUUAAGGACGAAGGGUCUGACGUAAUUUGCAAACAGACGAAGAACAAUGAUGUGGAUGACGUAAUUUGCAAAUAGACGAAGAGCAACCUUUCGUUGCGCAGUGCCUUUGUCUCAAACAUUGGAAAUCGGAUACACUGGAAUGACAACUGACACCCUGGAGCUUCAUUCCUGAUGCACUGUUGCAGCAGAUCUCAGGCGGCAAUAAUGCGAGUGCAGGCGGUGAACAUGUGUUCCAGGGUGUCACACUUAAUACAGAACAUGCAGGAAGCCGAUGGCGUGCGUCCCAUCCGCAAUAGCAAAUCUCCGUGCGGGAUCUUGCCAUUUAGAACAAAGUAUAGUGCGGACCGCUGCUCCGAUGAUAGUUUUGUGUAGGGGGUGUUUUUCCACACCCUUUUCCAGUUGAGAUUCGGUAAUUGUUCCUGUAUAUUCACGGUGGGUAACCGUUCCACUAGCGUCUUGCGAAACGCCUUAGUGAACGGGUGUUGCUCGAGCGUGACGGGAACGUAGGUGAGUUGUUGAACAACGCUCUCGAAGGCACGGAUACGCCGUUUGGAUCGCCGUGAUGUCAGGCGGGUUAUCGGCACACUGUAUGUGAUGAGCACCAAACGGCAGGCACUCCUGCUCUACCACGUACCGGUUGGUCAUCAAGGCUAUAGCUGCUACGGCUGGGAUGUGUAGGUUGAGUCCCCCACGGCUCCGUUUCAGUUUGCAUCCGAGCACAUCAUUUUGGUGUGCUGUCAAUGCUGUCUCAUGGCACGCACCACAUACUAUUAUCAAAAGGAAAGUAAACAAAUUUCGCAGGGAGCAAUGCUGUUCG